AGAUUGGGUAGACAGAGUUUCUGAGUGGUAAGUAAUUAUCUCAGAUUUGAUAAUUAUGGGAUUGGAUAACCUAGUAGCGGGACUGUUUUGACUGCAGGUUUUUGGAUGGUGUUGAUCUCGGUGGGUUUUGAUCCAUAAAUAUUAGCUAGUAUAUUUCCCUCGUCUUGUCCGAGUAGAACCGCAGUUCUAUUCUCCCCUUUCUUCGGAGGUUGAUCUAUCGAGAUUCAAGAAAAUGAGACUGACCAGUACUCAAAGGUGAUACCGCAGUGGUGAAGUGAUAUCCGAAUUCGAUUACGGUGGGUACGUGGUCAAGUUUCGGAGACAAAACUUUCUUUAAGGGGGGAAUAAUGUGAGGACUGAGAAUUUGCAGUGCAGAUUAACCCUUUGCUAAUGAUGUUCUUGUGUGUAAUUUAAUUACAUAAGCACUCGUCAAGUUUCAGAAGAAAACGAGUUAGGAUGGAGAAGUUGCGACCUGUACUAAUCACUUAAAGUAAAUAGUAACUCUGAUUUUCCGGAGAGGCCAAUCAGUAGAGAUGGCUUCUAGUGCGUAUUGGAUUCCGUUCAUAGUGAUCCAAUAGCUCGUUUUUUAUGGUGCGACUAUCCUGGACUCAAUGGCACUGACGGAUUUGGGUUUUGAUACACGAUUUU
rnacentral:lncRNA from 1 species